UCCUCAAUUUCUUCCCCUGCUCUCUCCAGUUCUGGUCCGUGCUUAUAGAGUGCAUAACAGUAUGAUCAAUGAACUUAGGAGGAAUUUAAUGAUAGGGAGAUUAUGGAUGUCACAUGUUUCUUUCCCGAGAUGGUAUCAAAAUAUCAUGAAACAGCGAAGCAAGAUCAACCACUUUUUCUGAUAUGGAAAAAGAUCAAAUUUCAAUUUCAUUUUGCCAGCACGAUCAGAGUUAGUGGAAGGACUUGCAUGUCAAUCUCUUCAAAAGCAAUGUCGAUGACUGGUAGUGAAGACUAGAGACACAGUGAAAAUGGUUUACAACGGAUGAAUCAAGGCAGAGGCGGAUCCAGGAUUUAAAGUUUAUGGGUUCCCAGCUAGGGUUGCUUACCGGCAUACAGCUUUGUACAAUUGGCAGAGUCGUAGUAUGCUGAAAGCCAAGGACUGGAUAUUAAGGGCCAUCCAAAGGUUCUAAAUACAAGAAAGUGAGUUAACCUGUCUUUCUACAUUCAUAAAAUCUUCAAUUAUAGUUCUUACGAAGAUGGUUAUUGAUUUGAAAACGCUACCAUUAUUUUUGCAGCUCGGGAUGAUGUUAUUGCCCUUAGUUCACUUUUCAAACUCUUACAAGUUGAUUUUUCAAAAAAUGUAAGAAAAUCAGGGAUGAUAAUGGGGUAGAGCAAACUACAAAUGGUGUAAGAUAGUUUCGCUUCUAAUAAGACCUGGAGGAACUGUAGACACUUAGAUAUGGAGAAGGGAAUUUGCUCUGGUACUGUUUGUGCACAUUCCAGCGCGCAGAUGUCUGGACUUUUGAAGUCCCUGAAGACAGUAAUGGUGAUUCCUGGCCAAAUGUAUGCAACUGCCUUCUUUUGUCUAAAAAUUCAAAUACAAAGUGAUGUGGUAUAAUUGACAGUUCCCAUUGUUAAUAGCAUAUGCCCAACCAUUAUUUUCAUAAGCUUUUUGAUAAUGUAAUUUCAAAUGUUUGGUGGUUUGACGUUGCCGACAGUUCUAAUAGGUAGUAAUGUGACGCUUCUAAAUUGUACUUUGAUUACAUCAUUGUGUAGCAAUCAGAAAAUUCAUAUUGU